CCUACGGGAGGCAGCAGUGAGGAAUAUUGGUCAAUGGCCGAGAGGCUGAACCAGCCAAGUCGCGUGAGGGAAGACGGCCCUACGGGUUGUAAACCUCUUUUGUCGGGGAGCAAAGCGAACCACGUGUGGUUCAUUGAGAGUACCCGAAGAAAAAGCAUCGGCUAACUCCGUGCCAGCAGCCGCGGUAAUACGGAGGAUGCGAGCGUUAUCAGGAUUUAUUGGGUUUAAGGGGUGCGCAGGCGGAGGUGCAAGUCCGCGGUCAAAUUGCGGGGCUCAACGCCGUACUGCCGUUGAAACGGCAUCCCUUGAGUGCGCGAGAAGUAUGCUGAAUGCGUGGUGUAGCGGUGAAAUGCAUAGAUAUCACGCAGAACUCCGAUUGCGAAGGCAGCAUACCGGCGCGCAACUGACGCUCAUGCACGAAAGCGUGGGUAUCGAACAGGAUUAGAUACCCCGGUAGUC
rnacentral:rRNA from 1 species